UUGGUUGUCUUGCUAUUUGAUUUGUUGUAUUUAUAUUGAUUGUUGUUGUUGAAAAAUCAUUUAUGUUAUUGUAUUUUUGUGAUUUAAUUUUUUGUGCUAUAGUUUAUUUGUACCGUGUGGGGUCGAUGUGUUUUAGUAUUUUUAGAAGUUUAUUUUGUUUAUUGUACCUUGUGUAUCAGGGUUCAUUGAAUUUUAUUAUUUAUUUUUAUUUCCCGAUUUUAAAGGAGUUAAUGGUUUAUGUUAGUUACUGUUUUAUUAGUAUUAAUAAUUGGCUGUUGGUAGUGAAAUGUUAAUCGUCUUUAGUGGUUUCUGGUUUUUCGGGAAAUGAAUUUAAUUCAUGCUCCUUAUUUAAUUUUUACUUUUAUGUAUGUUUUUUUAUUUGGUGUUAAGAUUAAGGGGGAUUAGCUCCUUAUUUAAUUUUUAUAAUUUUUGGUUUAAUUUAGUUUGGUGGAUUUUAUAGUGAUUUUCGAUUUGAUUAUGUUAAAGUUUUAUUUGUUUAUUUCUUUAUUUGUUUUUAUUUAAUUUGUUUACUGGGAUGCUUUUUUUGCUUUGUAUUGAAUGGUAAUUAUUGUGUAAUUAGUAAAUUUUCUUAUAUGUUGUUUUUGGUGUGUUAGAUUCUUUUGAGGAAUUCGGCAAAGUUUCAUGCCCGCCUGUUUANNNNNNNNNNNNNNNNNUGAAGGGCCGCGGUAUUUUGACCGUGCAAAGGUAGCAUAAUCAUUAGUUCUUUAAUUGUGAUCUGGUAUGAAUGGUUUGACGAGGUAUGUGCUGUCUUAAAGUUGUUUGGAUAAAUUUAGUUGAAUUUGGUUUUUGAGUUAAAAUUCUUAGAUGUUUUUAUGGGACGAGAAGACCCUAUAGAGUUUUACAUUUAGUGUUUAUUUUUAUUGUUGUUAGUUUGUUUGGUUAAGUAAGUUGAAUGUUUUGUUGGGGUGAUGGGAGGAAUUUGUGUAACUCCUCUUUGUUUAUUUAUAUUUAUGUGUAUUUGUUUUGAUCCAUUUAUUUUGAUUAUAAGAUUAAAUUACCUUAGGGAUAACAGCGUUAUCUUCCCUGAGAGUUCUUAUUGGCGGGAAGGAUUGCGACCUCGAUGUUGGAUUAAGGUGAAUUUUCGGUGUAGGAGCUGAGGAUGAUUAGGUCUGUUCGACCUUUAAAAUCUUACAUGAUCUGAGUUCAGACCGGCGUGAGCCAGGUUGGUUUCUAUCUAUAAUAGUGUUAUUAUAUCUUAGUACGAGAGGACCGGAUAU
rnacentral:rRNA from 1 species